AUCCUACUUAUAUGUUUAAUCCACUCUUCUUUACCCAGGUAUUUAUAUUGUCCACCCCACAUAUGCGGCUGAUUUCCUCACUUCUUACCUUGUCCUGUAGUCCUUUUCCAGCAAUCCUUCUUAAAGAUCUUCAUUUGGUUGGUCUCCAGAUGUUCUUGUGUUUUGCUUGUAUCUGGUCUUGUUUCGGCCUUAUAAGUCAUAACUGGCCUAAUAACUGACUUAUAUAUUUGGGCCUUUGUUUGCGCUCUUACGUGUUUGUUUUUCCAAAUUGUGCCGUUUAGGCAUCGGCCGUUCUACUGGCUUUAAUUAUUUGUUCUUUUACCUCUUCUUCGAUAUUGUUGUCAGCUGAUAGAUUAAUUCCCAAGUAUUAGAUGCUAGAUGUGAUGAGAUAAUUGUUAUAUAUCCAGGCGAGUUGAAUUUGGUACAGUACAACCAGAGUUUCCAGAAACCUCAGAUGUACAGAAAGAAAUCGAAGGUGAAUAGAGUCAUUCUAGCCUCCGGCGCAGAGUUUCCUCGUGCAGCGAGAAUAUGGUGGUGUUGGAUGUCAAUAGACAUUCAAAGAAAUUUCUCAAAAGGAAACAA
rnacentral:lncRNA from 1 species